rnacentral:rRNA from 1 species
CUUAGUUCGUGGAGUGAUCUGUCUGCUUAAUUGCGUUUCAAAAUUUAACUUGAGGACCGGGUUUUGGUUUGGCUAGUGGUUCUACGAUGACUGUGAACUGUCAUGUCUUCGGAUGUGCGACUAUUGGUCUAGGAUCACAUGACUUGCCCCUGGGACUCUUUUGAACGCAACGGACGUGAUUGCAACCCCUUGUUGAGAUUAGAGAUAGUCUCGAUAUUCACUGGACAAACUGGCUGCUUUAUGCAGUCUUGUUGAAUGGUGGAUAAACUCGGGGGACUGCUGACUAUAACCAUUUCUCAAAACAGAGGAAGGUUGCGGCAAUAACAGGUCUGUGAUGCCCUCAGAUGUCCCGGGCUGCACACGUGCUACAAUGAGUGGCGCAAUGUGCUAAUGUUUAAGGGAUAAGAGUGUGGUCAGUAGAACGUCGGGAUUUCCCCUGACGUCUCCCCCGCACGAUUAUCAGCCUUCCCUUAACAGGGCGGGCAACCUUUUCAAAAUACUGGUUUGAUGUUAAAGUAUUGAGUCGUUUUUUUUGGAUGGUGGUUUGUUAACCAAUACCAUCCGGCAACUGCUCGCGAGUUUGUGGUUCUGGCGACUC